CCUACGGGAGGCAGCAGUGGGGAAUAUUGCACAAUGGGGGAAACCCUGAUGCAGCGACGCCGCGUGAGUGAAGAAGUAUUUCGGUACGUAAAGCUCUAUCAGCAGGGAAGAAAAUGACGGUACCUGACUAAGAAGCCCCGGCUAACUACGUGCCAGCAGCCGCGGUAAUACGUAGGGGGCAAGCGUUAUCCGGAUUUACUGGGUGUAAAGGGAGCGUAGACGGCAGCGCAAGUCUGGAGUGAAAGCCCAUGGCUUAACCAUGGAACUGCAUUGGAAACUGUGCAGCUAGAGUGCAGGAGAGGAAAGCGGAAUUCCUAGUGUAGCGGUGAAAUGCGUAGAUAUUAGGAGGAACACCAGUGGCGAAGGCGGCUUACUGGACUGUAACUGACGUUGAGGCUCGAAAGCGUGGGGAGCAAACAGGAUUAGAUACCCCAGUAGUC
rnacentral:rRNA from 1 species